CCAAACUGGGAUUAGAUACCCCACUAUGCUCAGCCCUAAACAUAAAUAAUUAUCACAACAAAAUUAUCUGCCAGAGAACUACUAGCAAUAGCUUAAAACUCAAAGGACUUGGCGGUGCUUUACAUCCCUCUAGAGGAGCCUGUUCUAUAAUCGAUAAACCCCGAUAGACCUCACCACUUCUAGCUUAAUCAGUCUAUAUACCGCCAUCUUCAGCAAACCCUUAAAGGGAAGAAAAGUAAGCACAAUAAUAUUACAUAAAAAAGUUAGGUCAAGGUGUAACCUAUGAAGUGGGAAGAAAUGGGCUACAUUUUCUAACCAAGAACACACUCACGAAAGUUUUUAUGAAAACUAAAAACUAAAGGUGGAUUUAGUAGUAAAUUAAGAAUAGAGAGCUUAAUUGAAUAGGGCCAUAAAGCACGCACACACCGCCCGUCACCCUCC
rnacentral:rRNA from 1 species